rnacentral:rRNA from 1 species
GACGAACGCUGGCGGCGUGCUUAACACAUGCAAGUCGAACGGUAAGGCUCCAGCUUGCUGGGGUACACGAGUGGCGAACGGGUGAGUAACACGUGGGUGACCUGCCCUGCACUUCGGGAUAAGCCUGGGAAACUGGGUCUAAUACCGGAUAGGACCGCACUGUGAGGGUGUGGUGGAAAGUUUUUUCGGUGUGGGAUGGGCCCGCGGCCUAUCAGCUUGUUGGUGGGGUAAUGGCCUACCAAGGCGGCGACGGGUAGCCGGCCUGAGAGGGUGGACGGCCACAUUGGGACUGAGACACGGCCCAGACUCCUACGGGAGGCAGCAGUGGGGAAUAUUGCACAAUGGGCGGAAGCCUGAUGCAGCGACGCCGCGUGGGGGAUGACGGCCUUCGGGUUGUAAACUCCUUUCACCAUCGACGAAGGGUUUCUGACGGUAGAUGGAGAAGAAGCACCGGCUAACUACGUGCCAGCAGCCGCGGUAAUACGUAGGGUGCGAGCGUUGUCCGGAAUUACUGGGCGUAAAGAGCUCGUAGGUGGUUUGUCGCGUCGUCUGUGAAAUUCCGGGGCUUAACUCCGGGCGUGCAGGCGAUACGGGCAUAACUUGAGUACUGUAGGGGAGACUGGAAUUCCUGGUGUAGCGGUGAAAUGCGCAGAUAUCAGGAGGAACACCGGUGGCGAAGGCGGGUCUCUGGGCAGUAACUGACGCUGAGGAGCGAAAGCAUGGGGAGCGAACAGG